rnacentral:rRNA from 1 species
AUUGAACGCUGGCGGCACGCUUUACACAUGCAAGUCGUGCGGUAACACUUCGGGUGACGAGCGGCGGACGGGUGCGUAACGCGUGAGAAUCUACCUUUUAGUGGGGGACAACUCGGGGAAACUCGGGCUAAUACCGCAUAUGUCCUACGGGAUAAAGCAGGGGACCUUCGGGCCUUGCGCUAAAAGAUGAGCUCGCGUGAGAUUAGCUUGUUGGUGAGGUAAAGGCUCACCAAGGCAACGAUCUCUAGCUGGUCUGAGAGGAUGAUCAGCCACACUGGGACUGAGACACGGCCCAGACUCCUACGGGAGGCAGCAGUGGGGAAUAUUGGACAAUGGGGGCAACCCUGAUCCAGCAAUUCCGCGUGUGUGAAGAAGGCCUGCGGGUUGUAAAGCACUUUCA